GCGGUUGCAAGUUGAAGAAGCAAACGCUGCUGUGAUUAGGGAACGAGAGGCUGCAAGGAAAGCUAUUGAAGAAGCACCUCCAGUCAUUAAGGAGACUCCAGUUUUGGUUGAAGAUACUGAAAAAAUCAAUUCAUUAACAUCAGAGGUGGAGGCUCUAAAGGCUUCGCUUGAGUCUGAACGACAAGCUGCAGAAAACUUGAGAAAAGCUUUCUCAGAGGCAGAGGCUAGAAACUCAGAGCUGGCCACAGAGCUUGAAACUGCUACUAGAAAAGCAGACCAGCUUCAUGAAUGGGUACAAAGACUAGAAGAGAAGCUUCCCAAUUCAGAGUCAGAGAUUCAAGUGCUUCGUCAACAGGCACUUGCUAUAUCUCCAACCAACAUAUGAAUUAUUUUUCUUCUUUCACAUAUUAAUACAAGAAGGCCUGUUUGUUCUUGUAAUCUUUUCUUCUCAAUGUUCAGAGAACUCCAGAGAAUGGAAGCCAUCUUAAUGGAGAAACAAAGACUACACCGGACAUGGCUGCUGUACGAGAACCAGAGUCUGAGGAGAAACCACAGAAAUAUCUGAAUGAAAAGCAACACGUAACUACUCUUGUAACGGUCCCAUUUCUUGCAGUAUUGCAGUCUGAUUUUCUCUUAAUAUAUGUUAUAAUCUUUGCGUUAUUCAGGAAAACCAAGAUGUACUAGUCAAGUGUAUCUCACAAAACCUUGGAUAUGCUGGGGGCAAGCCUGUAGCUGCAUAUACAAAUGUCUUCUUCACUGGAGAUCAUUUGAAGUCGAAAGAACUAGCGUCUUUGACCGUAUCAUUCAAACUAUAGCUUCAGCCAUUGAAGUAAGUCGAUUCUUUUUUUUUUGCGUCUUUCCUCAAAAGCAUUUUAUGACACUAUUUCAACAUGUUCUGCACUCCAUAAUGUUGAUUAUUUUUGCGACUAACUUCGCUCAACCACCAGGCUAGCGGAAGGCGCGUUCGGCUAGCCGGUUUCUAAAUUCCUAAACUAUCCAACACCAUUCUUAACCUUCGAUGUUAAGCAAGAGGGUGACGUUCACCUCGUUUCCUCAGUUACCGGAACUCAAACGACACCUCCAGAGUAGCUAGUGUUAGACGGCUUCUUCGAGCUUGAGCUCUCCAUUGAUCAUUAGGCACAAACCGGAUAGAUAAAAGGGAGAAGGAGCAUACCACACGGCAAGCACUGCACCACUAGGGAGAAGGAGCAUACCACACGACAAGCACUGCACCACUAGAAUCUAUCGGCAUGAUUGACACAAACGCGAGUGUGAGAACGACACAGCAUCGAGCAACCCGAGAAAGACAGGCUGCGGCGAAGCACCACCAAGGAACAAAGCUCUGUGUCCUGCAAAAGAAUCGAAACAUUAACCUGCCAACUGGCCAACAGAGCACUGGGAUGGCUAAAAUCCCACUAGGUCUCCUCGCCGGGAGAGCCUCAACUGACUCAAUCAAAACUCUGAACCAACGUCCUAGCCCGGGUAAGAGAACCUGACCCAGUAUUCUUAGCGCUGAGCCGUUACGCCACGUUGGAGAGACGAGACAGAUACGGCUGAGCGGACACAGAGAAGAUGAGACACCGUGAAUGACUCGAACACCUUGAUCUUGCGAAGAGAUAAGCCAGACAAACAGAGAGAAGCCUCCAAAGACAUUGCUGUAUCCGCCAUAGACGACUGAUCAACCAACGACUCGGAAACUUCAUACGCCAAAAUCUCAGACAAACCGCAGCCACGCGACCACCAAGCUGGCUGAGCACGCACCACCAGACCGAACUGAUGCCUCCAUUGAGAGCCAGCUAAACCGAAAGACGAAUCAAGACGCCAAGUUCCGUCCCACGGAGAGGAAGAGAAGCAAAUAAAAAAUGAGAGGCAAAGGAUAGAGAGCCUCCGGCGCCGGAGCUAACGCGAGCCUAGACCGGAGCCGAGGCCUCCGGACGCCGGAGCAGUGACGGAAGAUUGAUGUUUUGGGGCUAGAGAUGGAAGAGAGGAAAAGAGAGGAGAGAGAGGGUAGUAUUUUCUCAACUGUUUUUUUUUGGUCUACUAAGGAAGAACGGUAAGAGCAUGAUCAU